rnacentral:rRNA from 1 species
GGCACUACGGUGAGACGUGAAAACACCCGAUCCCAUUCCGACCUCGAUAUGUGGAAUCGUCUUGCGCCAUAUGUACUGAAAUUGUUCGGGAGACAUGGUCAAAGCCCGG